rnacentral:rRNA from 1 species
UAUGAAGGGGGCGAGCGUUGUUCGGAUUUACUGGGCGUAAAGGGCGCGCAGGCGGCUUUGUUUGUCAGGCGUGAAAGCCCCGGGCUUAACCUGGGAACUGCGUUUGUGACUGCAUCGCUGGAGUGCGGCAGAGGGGGAUGGAAUUCCGCGUGUAGCAGUGAAAUGCGUAGAUAUGCGGAGGAACACCGAUGGCGAAGGCAAUCCCCUGGGCCUGCACUGACGCUCAUGCACGAAAGCGUGGGGAGCAAACAGG